rnacentral:rRNA from 1 species
GACGAACGCUGGCGGCGUGCUUAACACAUGCAAGUCGAACGGAAAGGCCCUGCUUUUGUGGGGUGCUCGAGUGGCGAACGGGUGAGUAACACGUGAGUAACCUGCCCUUGACUUUGGGAUAACUUCAGGAAACUGGGGCUAAUACCGGAUAGGAGCUCCUGCUGCAUGGUGGGGGUUGGAAAGUUUCGGCGGUUGGGGAUGGACUCGCGGCUUAUCAGCUUGUUGGUGGGGUAGUGGCUUACCAAGGCUUUGACGGGUAGCCGGCCUGAGAGGGUGACCGGCCACAUUGGGACUGAGAUAAGGCCCAGACUCCUACGGGAGGCAGCAGGGGGGAAUAUUGCACAAUGGGCGGAAGCCUGAUGCAGCAACGCCGCGUGCGGGAUGACGGCCUUCGGGGUGGAAACCGCUUUCGCCUGUGACGAAGCGUGAGUGACGGUAAUGGGUAAAGAAGCACCGGCUAACUACGUG